rnacentral:rRNA from 1 species
CCUACGGGGGGCAGCAGUGGGGAAUAUUGGACAAUGGGCGAAAGCCUGAUCCAGCCAUGCCGCGUGUGUGAAGAAGGCCUUCGGGUUGUAAAGCACUUUCAGUGGGGAAGAAAGCCUUGGGGCUAAUACCCUCGAGGAAGGACAUCACCCACAGAAGAAGCACCGGCUAACUCCGUGCCAGCAGCCGCGGUAAUACGGAGGGUGCGAGCGUUAAUCGGAAUUACUGGGCGUAAAGCGCGCGUAGGCGGUCUGAUAAGCCGGUUGUGAAAGCCCCGGGCUCAACCUGGGAACGGCAUCCGGAACUGUCAGGCUAGAGUGUUGGAGAGGAAGGUAGAAUUCCCGGUGUAGCGGUGAAAUGCGUAGAGAUCGGGAGGAAUACCAGUGGCGAAGGCGGCCUUCUGGACUAACACUGACGCUGAGGUGCGAAAGCGUGGGUAGCAAACAGGAUUAGAUACCCGAGUAGUC